UACGUAGGGUGCAAGCGUUAAUCGGAAUUACUGGGCGUAAAGCGUGCGCAGGCGGUGAUGUAAGACAGUUGUGAAAUCCCCGGGCUCAACCUGGGAACUGCAUCUGUGACUGCAUCGCUGGAGUGCGGCAGAGGGGGAUGGAAUUCCGCGUGUAGCAGUGAAAUGCGUAGAUAUGCGGAGGAACACCGAUGGCGAAGGCAUCCCCUGGGCCUGCACUGACGCUCAUGCACGAAAGCGUGGGGAGCAAACAGG
rnacentral:rRNA from 1 species